GUUGGUAGAUUCAGCUGUGCUGGGCAUCCUGGCUGAGUAACAGAGACAGUGAAUGUAAACAAUUAAGAUGUUCUAAUAAAGGAACCCAAAGAGGGUCCCAGAGGCUAGAAUAUCUACCUCCUGGGGGCAAACAGAGGUUUCCUAAGAACAUGUCAUCUGAGCAGAGUCCUCAAGUAAGACUAGGAGUUGCAUGGGGAGAGGAGGGGAAGGUAGGCCUGCAGACGGCUAGGUGAGCACAGGCACGGGGUGUGGAACAUUUAGCUUAUGGCAAGAGCAGAGGGUACAAAGGAAGGAGAGAGAGGAGGUGGGAUGGGAAGGUCAAUUGUGCCAACUAAGAUUUUUUUCCUGUAGUAAGGGGGAGGGAGGGCCUGAAGGACUUUAAACAGGUGAGCCAUGCAAUCAGCUGUGCUUUGGGAGGAUAGCUCUGGUGGUGACAUGGAGCCUUGAGGAUGGGACUAUACGCAUGAGACUGGGAUCAGAGUGGAGGCAGCUGGCAAGGAGGCAGUCAGGAGACCCUACUAAUAUAGGGAAUCCAAAUGAAGGAGAAAAAUCAUGAUGGCACAGCUAGAAACUAAUAGAGAAGAAAAAAUACCCCAGGCAUUUUGGCCUUGUUUUACAACAUAUUUCUUAGCUUUUUGAUGGCAAUGGAAGCUUUUUUGAAGUUGUCUUUUGUUUCCUGCCUUUACUGUAUGCUCUGAAUUCCCUUCUCUUUCAUGCUUUUUGGUUUGCAUCUAUUCUUUCAUAUUGGAGGCUUUGCUCAAACAUUCUGUGGACCUUAUCUGUUUGCAUAUAUUUAAAUGCAAGGCACUGAAAGACAAAAGACCUAUUCAAGGCAGAGUACAAAGUGGACCAGGGCAGGCUGAUUUCUCAACCUCUCUGUCGUGAGUUGACUCGUGUACUCCCAAAAGCUAUGUUGAAGUUCUAACCCCGGUACCUGUGAAUGUGGCCAUGUUUGGAAAUAGGGUCUUUGCAGAUGUUAGUUAUCAAGGUUUUCUUAGUGUGAAAUAUGAACUCAUGAGCAUCUGGCCUGGGAACUGGACCAGUUUUAAAUCUCGUGUUGAGAGCCGGAAGAUGCUGGAGAAGGAAUGUGGUGGAAUGACUGCCUGAGAAUGAACCAUUCUCCAGUGAGAGGGGGCUUCGAUAUUGAAAGGGCAAUUUGGCCUUAACUUGGAAAUGCUGGAGAUUGAUUGCAUACAAUCUGUCCUGCUAGUGAGAGAAGCAAGGACUGCAUCUAAGUGCAACAUGAAGACUUUUGGUCCCAAGCUUUCCUCCAACUUCAGUGGGAGGCAGCCCAAAACCACCGUCGGUUCAAGAAUACAAGUGACCUGCAAUUCUUGGAAAGACUCCCCCAAUUCUUCUCCCAAUAUGUGGUCAGCUUUUCCAGCAGGAUUAGGGAGGGAGGAGUUUCAGCUGUGCUUCUAAGAUCUUCCAGAAUGAAUUUUCUACCUCAAAAAUCAAGGACUUUUCUGGAAACUGCAGUCAGAGGACAGAACAUCAGCCUCAAGCUGGAAAAACAUUUAUUUUGUGGUGGGGUGUGUACCUCAGUAUUCCCUGUGCUAGAAGAAAAGAAGCACUUUCAAGGAAGGUGGGUAAGGUUUUUUCCCCCUUUUCUGGAAACCAGCUGAGAAACUUUGCCUUGGAGCGCCAUCUAGAGGAAGCCUCAGCACACACACGCUGUGCUUUCUUAGCCUUAUGACAUGACCCAGGUUGAAUCCAAUGGUUGGUACAUGAGAAAUGGAAAUGUAAAGGAGAAGGCCUGCCAGUUCCUACGAAUGAGAAAUGAUCUUCCACCAUCACUAAGCACACUUACGGUUAACAUCGCGAACAUCAGCUGACACACGUUGAAGCUCCAUGAACAUCCGGAGAGCAGCUGUGAUCAUGGCAUCAACGUCGAGAGAAAAGUCAUCAAAAUGAAUGUCAUCGAUGGCAAGUUCUGACACCAGAGGGAUGUUGGCUGCCUAGAAAAGCAAAAGACAUAAGUCAAGCCAAGUUCACCAGCUUUCCCAAACCCCCAUCCUGCUCUCCUCCCCUGCUUAUCAGAAGUGCCACAUAAAUCAGGCCUGACCUGCACUUACACCCUGAUACAGCUAAACUCUGAGCUGUAAAUGUCUUUUGUUUCUGAACUGCAAAUGCCCCAAGCAAAUGAAGGUGGGGGCAGGGUUGGGGGCGGGGGGAGGGAAACUAAUCUGAAGAUAAAAUACACGCACUGGAUCUAGCCUGCAGAAUUUAUAAUACAGAACUGUCAAGUUUAUGGAAACUGUGGUCAUACAAUAUAUUCUGAUGCAUAUUACAGAGCACUAAAUGCAAGAAACAUCUGGGCAGCCAGCAGCUGUGAAUUUUAAUUGAUGCUAUUCAGGAGAAGGAGAAGGGAAUACACCACUUUGCCUUGUUUCUUAUAUCCUUAUAUCCUGUAGCUUGCACGUGUUCUUUGUUACACACGUGUUCUGUAUAUUCAGAAUGAUCGAAAGGAUCAGACAGCACAUCUCUGGUGGGAAAUAUGUUGCCUUAAUAAAAUAGAGAUAUCUGAAGGUUUAGCAUAAGCCUAUGUUUCACUGAGGAGAUCAAUUUUGCUUUCUUGUUUAGCUUCAUUCUAUAUAAACAUCACAACAUAAUUACAAUACUGGUCAUACAUAUUCAAGGUUUUCAAAACACCCAUGUUAGGCAACUGUCAAUCAGCUGCCCACAAACGAGCCUAAAGAGGAGAA
rnacentral:lncRNA from 1 species